UACGUAGGGUGCGAGCGUUGUCCGGAAUUAUUGGGCGUAAAGGGCGCGUAGGCGGUUUGUCGCGUCGGGAGUGAAAUCCACUGGCUUAACUGGUGGCUUGCUUUCGAUACGGGCAGACUGGAGGUAUGCAGGGGAGAACGGAAUUCCUGGUGUAGCGGUGAAAUGCGCAGAUAUCAGGAGGAACACCGGUGGCGAAGGCGGUUCUCUGGGCAUUACCUGACGCUGAGGAGCGAAAGUGUGGGGAGCGAACAGG
rnacentral:rRNA from 1 species